GCACCUCCUCCGGAACCCCAUGCACCUCCUCCGGGACCCCAUGCACCUCCUCAUGAUCCACACAAGCCACAUGACUGUCACCACGGUCACCACCACCCAUGAACCGAACUAGUCAUGAGGCCACGAUCGAGAAGCUAGUCUCAGCAAGUUGUUAUCUAUUUAUCUUUGUGCCUGUAAUGUGAUCUAGCUGCGGUUGUAGUUCUGAGUUGCUGGGUUUACUGGCUUUGCUCCAUUGAUCUCAUCGUUAUGUAAUGACUAAAAUAUGAGGACUAUGUAUGUAUCCAAAAGAAGGCUGAUCAUAUAUGUAUAAUAAGAAGAGUACUGGCUUUGUGGUUUAUGUAUAAUCCGCUUGUGUAAAACUUCUUCUUUUAUCCGUCUAAAUGUGAUGUAUAAUCAGAAAAUAUGGCCAGUUUGUCAUCUUGACCAACCUGAACUUACAAACUAAUUAAUUAAGUCAAUCUCCCCAAUUUCAUCAAUCUUCAUUAGGAUUUCAUCACUAGCUCAUUCCUUCACAGAUAAUUAACCAUUUGCUCGAUUGCUCUUAACAAACUGUAAUAGCCAAGAGGCAAACGCAUCCAUCUAAAUUCUAAAAAGUUAUUAACACAGGCUAGGGGUAAAUUAUCCUUUGUUCAGACCAAUCUCACAGUUGAAGCGAUGAAUUGGCUAAAACAAAAGCCUACGGGCAGAAAAACAAAGCAUCUCUAUUCGUACGGAAGAAUGACUUCCAUAUAUAGUAAGCCUUAUAGUUAUAACACCGUAAGUGUAUAAGAAUAGGAAUUCAUAAACGCAAUAAGAAGAAGACCGUGAAAGAGAUCGAAGAUUAAAGCAGGCCUUAAUGUCUUGUAUAUUCUGUACAAAAUUUCAACAGCCAGAUUUUCUCGAUGCAUUCGUCAGCUUCUGUUUGUAACCUUUCUUCUGUCAAAUCCUCCAUGGCUUUUCACGAGCAAUAAUUCUUGCAAGGUCCCAUUAACAAGCCUCACGUACGUUGUUCUUAUCUCCUUUUCCUUAGCUCACCAAGAAUUCAACUAUUACCAAGUGCAGCAACUAGUUUCUGUGAUCGAUCUACGGAAAGUUAAAGUUAUUGCUCAAAAGAGAAAGAGAAAACGGAAGUUAAAGUUCCAUGCUGCCCUAGUUCAAGUACGCACUCAGUUAUGAUCUUGUGGUUCUUACAAUGGAUGAAUGGAUGAAGCAUUACCACACAAAUACUCAGAAGAGAAAAACAAAACAACCACAGUGCACGAUUAACAUGCUAGCUAGCUUUCAUUGUGUGCAAAUAUCCUGAGCUACCAUUCCACCAAAACAAGCUAAAUAAGUUUAUCCUUGUAUGGAUAUUAUGUGAAUCGAAAUAAUUGUAUAUUUGAUUCUUAGAUAUUAUGUGGCACCUAUUACAACGAAGCAUGUGCCAUAUUCUGAAGAUAAUGUCGACACAUCUGAAUCAUCUAGAGCCCGUACCGACACCUUUCUCCUAUAAAAUCAACUCCUACUAGCUUAAACUCUUCAACAGUUCGCCACAUCAAGAACAACUUUCUUUUUGUUUAUACAAGCUAGUAGUCUCACCAAGAAUUCGAAGAUGCAUCACGGUGAUCAUCACGGCGGACCACCACACCACGGAGGAGGUCCGGGAGGAGGUCCGGGAGGUCCAGGAGGCGGCCCUCAACAUGGUCAUGGUCAUCAAGGAGCUCCGGGAGGAGGGCAUGGAGGACCAGGAGGAGGAGGGCAUGGAGGGCAAGGAGGAGGAGGACACGGAGGACCAGGAGGAGGAGGACAUGGAGGAGGAGGAGGAGGAGGACGAGGGGGGAGGAGGAGGACAUGGAGGAGGAGGAGGAGGAGGACGAGGGAGGAGGAGGAGGAGGACAUGGAGGAGGAGGAGGACGACGGAGGGCAUGGUGGUCACUGAUCAUGGCGCUAGACUACGUAUACUACUUGUGGUGUACUAGCUGGCUGAAUAAGUCUCUCUAUGUGACUUCUGUAGUAUUGUUUGUGUGUUAUCAUUUCCUAGUUGGGUCGAUCAGAUCCUAGAUAGUGAAGCUAGCUAGGGGAGUCGAUCUUGUGUUUGGAGUCUGUUAAUUAAUGUAUGUGUAUGGAUGUGUAAUAAAACCAUACUAGCUAUGUAUUUGAUUCGAGGCUUAACAUAUAUUGCAUGCAGCUAUAUAUAUAUAUAUAUAUAUAAUAUCCUUAGAUGACUAAGAACAUAAGAAACAGAGCAGUACUAUUGAUGAUUUACAAGAUUCAAUUUGUAUAAGUGAUCUUUGGCUUGUCCUAAUUAACCAUCAAGCAAAGCGCUAAGAACGAACAUAUUAUAUAUACUGCCAGAUGAUCAAGCAACUUUGCAGAGGGAUCAUGACGAAAUGUCCAUCUAGCAGCUUAAAUGCUUAAUUAGAACAAUUUUGCAAAACAAACACAAACUUGUAUAAUACGGUACCGAAAAUAUAAGUAUAACCGUUUGAAAUGUCAAGUUUAUCAAUCUUAUGAAAUCGAAGUAUCGUAAAUCGAUAAUGAUCUUCUUCAAAACUAGAACGAGAAUGUAACGUGUCUAUAUGACACUAUAAAUGUCUACGAAAUCAUGCGUUAAGAACAUAAUAUUAUAUUCCUUCGUUUUUUACUAAAGAAUAUCAUUACCGUUAAGCUUUAAUUGACAUACGUACGAUUGUACUUUGUAGUGAUACAUCUAAUUAUAUUGGUCGUGUGGUGCCCUUAGUAUAUUAAAAGGAAAAAACUAAAGAGACCAAAAGGCCCAAAGGAAACCACAGAAAUUGUCAUAAAGGUACAAGUGCAGCCCAACUUUCNNNNNNNNNNNNNNNNNNNNNNNNNNNNNNNNNNNNNNNNNNNNNNNNNNNNNNNNNNNNNNNNNNNNNNNNNNNNNNNNNNNNNNNNNNNNNNNNNNNNNNNNNNNNNNNNNNNNNNNNNNNNNNNNNNNNNNNNNNNNNNNNNNNNNNNNNNNNNNNNNNNNNGUCCUGAUCAUCACCUUCCUUGCCUAUGCUUCCUUCCACGCCUCCAGGAAGCCCCCCAGCAUCGUCAAGAGUGUUCUUGGCCCCAAACUCCUGUCCAAUUCGAGCUCUUUCGACACCGGUUGGGCUCCCUUUAAUGGCCCUGAUGGCACUCACAGGCUUGGAGAACUUGAUCUUGCAUUUCUAUCUGCAUAUUCUAUUGGAAUGUAUUUUGCAGGGCAUGUUGGUGAUAGGAUUGAUUUGAGGUUGUUUCUUGCUUAUGGGAUGUUAGGGAGUGGAGUUUUGACUUGUCUUUUCGGGUUAGGUUAUUGGUGCAAUGUGCAUAUGUUGUGGUACUUUGUGGGUGUGCAAGUUGUGUGUGGGUUGUUUCAGUCAAUAGGGUGGCCUUCUGUUGUGGCAGUUGUGGGGAAUUGGUUUAGGGUUUAGACAGCGGCCAUCACACGCCGGCCACGGUCACGCACCACCCCCAGGUCCGGGACACCACGAGCCUCCUCCGCCCCAUGGCCAUGCUCCUCCUCCGGGGCCUCAUGCACCUCCUUCGGGACCCCAUACACCUCCUCCGGAACCCCAUGCACCUCCUCCGGGACCCCAUGCACCUCCUCAUGAUCCACACAAGCCACAUGACCCGCACCACGGUCACCACCACCCAUGAACCGAACUAGUCAUGAGGGAUCACGAAGCUAGCUAGUCUCAGCAAGUUGUUAUCUAUUUCUGCCUGUAAUGUGAUCUAGCUGCGCUUGUAGUUCUGAGUUGCUGGGUUUACUGGCUUUGCUCCAUUGAUCUCAUCGUUAUGUAAUGACUAAAAUAUGAUGACUAUGUAUGUAUCCAAAAGAAGGCUGAUCAUAUAUGUAUAAUAAGAAGAGUACUGGCUUUCUGGUUUAUGUAUAAUCCGCUUGUGUAAAACUUCUUCUCUGUUAUCGGUCUAAAUGUGAUGUAUGAUCAGAAAAUAUGGUCAGUUUGUCCUCUUGACCAACCUUAACUUACAAACUAAUUAAGUCAAUCUCCCCAAUUUCAUCAAUCUUUAUUAGGAUUUCAUCACUCAUUCCUUCACAGAUAAUUAACCACACAUCCAAGCUGCAUUUGCUCGAUUGCUCUUAACAAACUGUAAUAAUUAACCAAGAGGCAAACGCAUCCAUCUAAAGUCUAAAAAUUAAGUUAUUAACACAAGGUUAAAUUAUCCAUUGUUCAGACCAAUCUCACAGUUAGAGCGAUGAAUUGGCUAAAACAAAAACCUACGGGAGAAAAAGAAAGCAUGUCUAUUCAUACGGAUGAAUGACUUCCAUAUAUAGUAAGCCUUAUAGUUAUAACACCGUAAGUGUAUAAGAAUAGGAAUUCAUAAACACAAUAAGAAGAAGAUCGUGAAAGAGAUCGAAGAUUAAAGCAGGCCUUACUGUCUUACAUAUUCUGUACAACAUUUCAACUGCUAGAUUUUCUCGAUGCAUUCGUUAGCUUCUGUUUGUAACCUUUCUUCUGUCAAAUCCUCCAUAUACGAACUCAUGGCUUUUCACGAGCAAUAAUUCUUAAAAGGUCCCAUUAACAAGCCUCAAGUACGUUGUUCUUAUCUCCUUUUCCUUAGCUCACCAAGAAUUCAACUAUUCCCAAGUGCAGCAACUAGUUUCUGUGAUCGAUCUACGCAAAGUUAAAGUUAUUGCUCAAAAGAGAAAGAGAAAACGGAAGUUAAAGUUCCAUGCUGCCCUAGUUCAAGUACGCACUCAGUUAUGACCUUGUGGUUCUUACAAUGGAUGAAGCAUUACCAAACAAAUACUCAGAAGAGAAAAACAAAACAACCACAGUGCACGAUUAACAUGCUAGCUAGCUUUCAUUGUGUGCAAAUAUCCUGAGCUACCAUUCCACCAAAACAAGCUAAAUAAGUUUAUCCUUGUAUGGAUAUUAUGUGAAUCGAAAUAAUUGUAUAUUUGAUUCUUAGAUAUUAAGUGGCACCUAUUACAACGAAGCAUGUGCCAUGCAUUCUGAAGAUCAUGUCGACACAUCUUAAUAAUCUGGAGCCCGUACCGACACCUUUCUCCUAUAAAAUCAACUCCUACUAGCUUAAACUCUUCAACAGCUCGCCACAUCAAGAACAACUUUCUUUUUGUUUAUACAAGCUAGUAGUCUCACCAAGAAUUCGAAGAUGCAGCACGGUGAUCACCAAGGAGGAGGUCCGGGAGGUCCGGGAGGUCCAGGAGGAGGUCCGGGAGGUCCAGGAGGCGGCCCUCAACAUGGUCAAGGUCAUCAAGGGGGUCCGGGAGGAGGGCAUGGAGGACCAGGAGGAGGAGGACAAGGGGACCAGGAGGAGGAGGACAAGGAGGACCAGGAGGUGGAGGACAAGGAGGACCAGGAGGAGGAGGACAAGGAGGACCAGGAGGAGGAGGAGGAGGAGGAGGAGGACAUGGUGGUCACUGAUCAUGGCUCUAGACUACGUAUACUACUUGUGGUGUACUAGCUAGCUGAAUAAAAGUCUCUAUGUGACUUCUGUGUUAUCGUUUAUGUGUUAUCAUUUCCUAGUUGGGUCGAUGAGAUCCUAGAUAGUGAAGCUAGCUAGGGGAGUCGAUCUUGUGUUUGGAGUCUGUUAAUGUAUGUGUAAUAAAACCAUACUAGUUAUGUAUUUGAUUCGUCUCUUAGGCUUAACAUUGCAUGCAGCUAUAAUAUUCUUAGAUGACUAAGAACAUAAGAAACAGAGCAGUACUGUUGGUGAUUUACAAGAUUCAAUUUGUAUAACUGAUCUUUGGCUGUCCUAAAUAACCAUCAAGCAGCAAAGCUAAGAACGAACAUAUUAUAUAAACUGCCAGAUGAUCAAGCAACUUUGCAGAGGGACUAUGACGAAACGUCUGAGAACCCAUCUAGCAGCUUAAUUAGAACAAUUUUGCAAAACAAACACAAACUCGUAUACGGUACCGAAAAUAUAAGUAUAACCGUUUGGAAUGUCAAGUUUAUCAAUAUUCUGAAACCAAAUAUCGUCAAUCAAUUAUGAUCUUCUUCAAAGCGAGUAUAUAUUUAGCGUAUCGAUAUAACACUGUAGAUGUCUACGAAAUCAUGCAUUAAGAACAUACCAUUAUAUUCCUUCACUUUUUACAAAAGAAUACCAUUACCGUUAAGCUUUAAUUGACAUACGAUUGUACUUUGUAGUGAUACAUCUAAUUAUAUUGGUCGUGUGGUGCCCUUAGUAUAUUAAAAGGAAAAAAAAAAUUAUUUGGACUCCGAUCAAUUUCCCCCUCUGAAGGCCGCCACAAUAAGCAGAACUAAAGAGACCAAAAGGCCCAAAGGAAACCACAGAAAUUGGCAUAAAGGUACAAGUGCAGCCCAACUUUCUUUCCCUCCAUUUUUGACCCAAAAACAAAAAAACAAAAGAAAACUACUUCCUCCAUUUGUCUUGAUAUAAUUAGGUAAUACAGGUUGCUUCACAGACAUCUCACCCUUCACCAGGAAGGCCCUCAUUUUCUUUUGAAUCUGGUGGCCUUCCUCUUCAUUUACAGAUCCAAAAACCCCCUUAUAUUCUUCUGUACAUAGAUAUUUCUCAAUCCCACAAAUCAAUCCCCAAAACCCUAAUCAAAGAUCCAUCCUUUCCUUCUCCUCUGCCUCAAUCAACAACUGGGUUCAUCAAUUCAGGUACAAAUUGAGUUCCUUUUUCUUCUUCACAGCAAAUGGNNNNNNNNNNNNNNNNNNNNNNNNNNNNNNNNNNNNNNNNNNNNNNNNNNNNNNNNNNNNNNNNNNNNNNNNNNNNNNNNNNNNNNNNNNNNNNNNNNNNNNNNNNNNNNNNNNNNNNNNNNNNNNNNNNNNNNNNNNNNNNNNNNNNNNNNNNNNNNNNNNNNNNNNNNNNNNNNNNNNNNNNNNNNNNNNNNNNNNNNNNNNNNNNNNNNNNNNNNNNNNNNNNNNNNNNNNNNNNNNNNNNNNNNNNNNNNNNNNNNNNNNNNNNNNNNNNNNNNNNNNNNNNNNNNNNNNNNNNNNNNNNNNNNNNNNNNNNNNNNNNNNNNNNNNNNNNNNNNNNNNNNNNNNNNNNNNNNNNNNNNNNNNNNNNNNNNNNNNNNNNNNNNNNNNNNNNNNNNNNNNNNNNNNNNNNNNNNNNNNNNNNNNNNNNNNNNNNNNNNNNNNNNNNNNNNNNNNNNNNNNNNNNNNNNNNNNNNNNNNNNNNNNNNNNNNNNNNNNNNNNNNNNNNNNNNNNNNNNNNNNNNGUCCUGAUCAUCACCUUCCUUGCCUAUGCUUCCUUCCACGCCUCCAGGAAGCCCCCCAGCAUCGUCAAGAGUGUUCUUGGCCCCAACUCCAGUCCAAUUCGAGCUCUUUCGACACCGGUUGGGCUCCCUUUAAUGGCCCUGAUGGCACUCACAGGCUUGGAGAACUUGAUCUUGCAUUUCUAUCUGCAUAUUCUAUUGGAAUGUAUUUUGCAGGGCAUGUUGGUGAUAGGAUUGAUUUGAGGUUGUUUCUUGCUUAUGGGAUGUUAGGGAGUGGAGUUUUGACAUGUCUUUUCGGGUUAGGUUAUUGGUGCAAUGUGCAUAUGUUGUGGUACUUUGUGGGUGUGCAAGUUGUGUGUGGGUUGUUUCAGUCAAUAGGGUGGCCUUGUGUUGUGGCAGUUGUGGGGAAUUGGUUUGGGAAGACGAAAAGGGGGUUGAUAAUGGGUGUGUGGAGUUCACAUACUUCGGUUGGGAACAUUGUGGGAUCGGUUAUUGCUUCCGGGGUUUUGGAAUACGGAUGGGGUUGGUCGUUUGUUGUGCCUGGAGUUUUGGUGAUAUUGGUGGGAGGUUUGGUGUUUUUGUUUCUUCCUGUGAGGCCGGAGGACUUGGGGUUUGAGGUGCCGGGGAAGGAGGAGGUUGAGAUGAAUCUGGAGGUUAAUGGGGUGGUGAAUGUGGAGAAGGUGGAAUCAGAAGAAGCUGGAUUACUUAGAGGGGAAAAUGUAGAUGCUGAUGUUGGUGCUGGGGCGGAAACUUUGACUGCGAUUGGGUUUUUGGAGGCGUGGAGGUUGCCGGGGGUUGCGCCAUUUGCGUUCUGCCUCUUCUUUUCGAAGCUGGUGUCUUACACUUUCCUGUACUGGUUGCCUUUCUACAUAAGGCACACAGGUAAUUCUUUGACUCUGAUGCUCUUGUAUGAUAAACUGAAUUAUUUUGGCAAUGUUUGUGCUUAGGAUCACAAGAAAGAUGCAUGUGCUGUAUGAAAUACCAAAUAGAAUUAAAGAAAUCAGUGUUCAUAACUAUAGAUUUCAAUUUACUUAUUGUAGUUUGGUGUUAUUAUGAACUCGUCAUAUUAAUCAUGACUUCUGUUUUACCUUGUAGCUGUUGCUGGGGUGCAUCUGUCACACAAAACUGCUGGAAACCUUUCUACAAUAUUCGAUAUUGGAGGAGUCCUUGGUGGAAUUCUAGCGGGAUUGAUAUCAGAUAUGCUUGAAGCUCGGGCUGUUACAUCAAUUGCAUUUUUGUUACUUUCAGUCCCAGCCCUUGUUCUCUACAGGGCAUAUGGAAGCUUAUCUAUGUUUGCCAACAUUGUUCUGAUGUUUAUUGCCGGAUUGCUGGUGAAUGGUCCAUAUGCGCUCAUCACAACAGCUGUUGCUGCUGAUCUCGGCACUCAGACCUUAAUCAGAGGCAAUUCUCGUGCCUUGGCUACUGUAACCGCAAUCAUAGAUGGUACGGGGUCUGUUGGAGCAGCUCUUGGUCCUCUUUUGGCAGGCUACAUUUCAACAAGGGGAUGGAACAGCGUUUUCUUGAUGCUAAUUGUUGCUAUAUUUUGUGCCACUUUGUUUUUGAUACGCAUUGCUAGAACUGAGAUUAAAGAGAAGUUGAGCGGGAAAAUAUGGUUUUGGUGUAGCAUAGACACACAAUGAUUGAGAAGUAAUAGACAGAAAUUCUUGUAAGAUUACGGUACAGCAUAGACACAAUGAUUGAGAAGUAAUAGACCGAAACUUUUUGUUUUAGUGUAUUCUUGAAGUCUGAGUAUCAGUUUGAUGACUCUUUGUGCACUUGUGAUAAAAUCGUUAAAGGAAGAAUAUAAAGGGUAAACAACCAAAAUGUUGGAAAGGAAAAGAAGAGUAUGUACAAAUUCAAAGCUAAAAGUACAGUUACAGAACAAUUUAUAAGCAACUGAGAACUGCCUUAACCUCUCAUAUGCAACGCAAUUCCUUACCUCAAAGUUUGAUCUCCAUUAUGUUCUAUUAGUGUACAGACUGUUAUCCCAAAACUUGGCAAUACGAAUGUCUUCUGCAUCCUUCUCAUCUUCUGUAGAAUCAACUGAAGCACUAGAUAUAGAGGAAGCAAGGCUGCAGUCCCUGGAUAUAUAUACAGAAGCCGAAGUUCUUAUUGAUCAAUUCUAAGUUUUAACCUUUGCCCAUCACCAGAAACAUCAACAAAUGGAGCACACUAGUUCAUCUAUUGAUCUAAGAAGAACUGAAGAUUUUGUAGUCCCUCAGCAGAAAUACUACGUCUGACUCUAGACCUUUCGACUACCACAUGUGGAGGUGGCUCCAAGUGGAAACUCACCAUAACAAGUGUCAAAUUGUCAGUUGCACCACGUUUUAUUGCCUCCUCUACUAUUUGCUUGCAACACAGCUUCACAUCAUUGUGCUCUUGGAGUUUCCUUCGAGCAAAGUCUACGGCAUUUUGGUUGGUGAAGACAUCCCAUAUUCCAUCACUACCAAUGAUUAAAAAUUCAUCAUCCUUGGUCAGUGUUGUCAAUUUAAGUUCUGGCUCAGCACUCAAGGGUCCUCCCCUUUCACCUUCAUCCUUCAAUCCUUCAAGAUGCCAAUCACCUAAUGCACGGGUAACCCCUAACUGACCAUUCAGAUAACCAUCAUCAACAUAUCCACCCAAAGACUCAAUCCUCAUCCUUUCUUUUGUGCAGCAGGGUCUAUGAUCUUUUGACAUUUCUAUAGCUGCUCCAUUUCGUGACAAUAUAGCCCUACAAUCUCCGGCAUUCGCCACAAGCAAAGACCUGUCCAACAAUAACGUUUUUUUUUUAUAAGGAACAACAAACAGAACAAAAGUCUGACGAAAACAAACUAAGCAGUAUCAAGAACUUAGACGUGAGAAGGGGCCAACAAAGAGUAGAUGUAAAUGAAGUAAUUCAAUUCCAAUGUAACACCCCAUGUUUGGGCCGGUUACUUCCUUUCCUAUACUUUAAGCACAAGCACCAAGACUAGCAGAUUUUUUCAAUAUAUUGCUUGUAAGACGACAUGAAGUAAAUGCAGCCUAUGAACACUGGAACAAAGAGUUUCUUACCUCCCAAAUAUCAUUGCAGUGAGUGCAGUUGUGCCAGAAGCAAGGGAAGACCGAACAGAGCAAGUUUUUGCAAAUGCAGCAUCUGUCUCAACAAAUGACCUUGUUAUUACCUUUUCAAGCUCUACCGGAAAGUCAGAAUCCUCAACAAUAACUCUUGGCAAGUUGUCACGAACAAAUUGCGCUGCAUCUUUUCCCCCAUGACCAUCAAAUACCUGUUUAAAUUGACAUCGCAUCAUUCAGACCAUGACUUAGAAUGGAAAGCAAAGAAGCAUUGCCAUACAGCGAAGUGUAGUAAACAGAAGAAGGUAAGUGAACUUACACCAUAGAAGGAGAUAGCUUCUUCGUCAUUGAGUACAUUAUAACCAAAUUUCUUAGCCAAGUCACCAAUGCAUAUAUGAGUAUCUUCCAUAUGGGAGCGAAAUCCAAUAUCAGACCACUCUCCUGACCGAAGGGCAGGGACAAAGUGUAACAUGUUCUGUUUUGGAUCUACAACUACUGAAUCCUCAGAUAUGCUUUCCAGCUGAAAGAUUAACAAAAUAACAAAACUUAGAUCAGAUAUAAGUCUCAAGAACAAUUAACUUACGGAACUCAAACUUCUCCCCAACUAAUAUCUAAACUUCUGCAGGACAAACCAACCAUAAAUAAACCUCGGAUUAAAGAACAAAAUUUAAAUAGCACCUAACCAUCAACCAAAUCAGGAUGUUCACAAAAGGGUGGAAAUGAAUUGCUAAAAACAAAGUCAUUAUAUAAAAAGAAAAAGAGUAUGAAACAUCAAUCAUUCUCUUUUUCCCUGUUCUGUAACUUCUUUCAGAUAAACUGAAAUCGAAGCACAAAGAAUAGAAACUGUCCCACACAAGAAUACGAACCUCAAAAUAUCAUAGUUUGAUCAUAAAUAAACACAUUUAUUUGGUAAAAGUUCACCUUCCAGAUUCCCAAUCAUUCACAGCAAGCCAAUUAAAUUGCAGCUUACUAAAAAGGAUUGGUCUUUAACAGUUUAACAUGUGAAAACAGUACAGCAUUAUUAAUCAAGCUGAAAACUUUCAUAUCUGAUACAGUAAAAACCAAUUACUAUAGUAAAGUGCAGAAUCAUGAGUAAUGUCAAUCAUGAACCAAAUAAGAGACCCAAAUCCCAGAGCUCAAUUUCAACCAAAUGGGUCCUAAAAAGUUCCAAACUUGACAACAACCCAACAAAGCUAAGCCAUCAAAGAACACAAAAUUGAUUGAAUUCUCACCUGAAACGAAUUCAACACGGUGCUCUGCUGAUCGGAGCUCAUCACCAUAGAUUCCUUGUUGUUGUUCUCCAUGUUUCCCAUUUCUGCAUCAUUCAAACACAUGCCUUAGUGCUUUGAGAUGAAAGAUUAUAAUGUCGGUGCUAUUUUCAGUGCUUGAAUUCUCAGCAAAGUUGUAGAGGGAAUCAAAUAGUAGAAACAGAGAGAACAGAGGAAAUAUAAACUUGUGGAGAGAAGAAGAUUCUGGGAAUAUGUGAGUGGGAAAUGGGGGCCUCUGUUUUAGACUAUUGACUAUUGAGUAUUUAUCAGAGAGAAAGAUGAAAGAAUGGAGAUUCCAGAUUUUUCUGUGAAAAUGUGGCUGAAAAUCAGUUUGUUGGGUUCUAUAAUAUUAUUAUUCUUGUAACCAAAAAUAAUAAUAAUAUUAUUAUUCUACUGAAAAAAGAAGAAGAAGUUUUUUGGUCUUGCUUCUUGCUUACAGAUGAGGUAAGCUAAAACUGGGACUGUAUUUUGUUGCCUAUUUCCUUGUCUCAAAAUUUAGAGGAGGUAAAGAUGCCAAGUUUUGGUGUUGAUUAAUAUCUAUAUUGUGUUUGACCAAGAUCACCAACUAACAUCUUCACCAAAAAGGGUUCCACUUUCUGAAAUGUCACAACCACUAAAACCAGGUUUAUUUAUCUUAGUGAUUAACUACCGAUAAUCAUAUCAGAGGAAUUAGGCCAUGUGUUGUUAGUGGUUACUGGGUAGGGUGUGUGAUAUUCUCAAAGAAAUGUAAUGGAAAAAGAUUAUGUUAUUAGCAUAACAAGGAUGUGGUUAGGAUAGUAUUCAAAGAUAUAUAUCACAUAUGCUUCAUUGUGGUUAGGAAUAUAAAUUUCAACCUAUGUAGCAUGAAAGAGAUCAAAUCCGAUAUAUUUCAAACACAAUUGAUGAACCUUUGUUUUAUUUAAUCAACAAUAAUUGCCCCCUAAAAAGUUUGAAAGUGAACGGAAAGGUAUGUUCAAUGUGAAAGUGAUCAUGCAAGACAAUGACCUUAGAUUUUUUUUUUUUUUCUUUUUCCCCUCCUUUAUUCUGCCUCAACUUUUUCACAAUAACAAAUCUCCAGAAAAUAUCUUCUCCUCUUAUAUGGAAACUCUGCUCCUUGUUCAUCAAGCACAGUGAUAAUUUGCUGUUCUGGGUCAUUUCAUUUACACCAUUGUUAUUGCCCUUUGCCCAUUUAAAAGGUUUUUCCACAAUAAUAUGAAGCACCACUAUUCUUUCCAGUAACUUCUAUAUUUACAGUUUUGGGUAAAAUUCUUUUGCAAAUGUGAACACAGUGAAGAAAUGGAAUAUAAUUUAGCUGUGAGUCUUUGCUGUCAUAUUCAGAAGUUUGAGCCUAGGAGACGUACUCUGUUAGUUUUCUGGGAAAACUUUAAUUGGUUAGUUGGUAAGUAUUGGUUGAAGGAGAAUCUUCAUCUUUCAGAUGACACAACACACAAGUGAGACUGAUACGUGGCCCAAUUGUUGUCACCCACAAAUUCACUUGUGGUUUCAAACAGAACAGUAACAUAUCAUGAAUUGAUAGUAUGCAAGUGCUUUUGUCAAUGAAUCGAAAUUUUAGAGCUACGUUGGCAACGAUCAGGUUGUUUGUAUGGAUCAAUCGCCUUGCUUGCACGUUUUACAUGGAUCUUCCCUUGUUUAAGCGGUAGGUGAUCAAUCACCAUUUUCUUGUUUGACGAUUUCAUAUAGAACUUCUGGCACCGCGAUUUGAUUAAUAAAUAUAGCUAUAGCUUAGAUUAUGCUCGAUAGCAUUACUCCAACUUACUGUUUUUCAACAAGUUUUAAACACUGGUUUUUAAGAAUCCAUCAUGUUAAGAGUUUUUGUUUUCUGUUUUCAUUACACCAAAAAAAAGAUUUGCCGGAAGAAUCAUGCAGGUUGGUCUGACUCAAAACAAGUUCCACUUCAUCACAAACGCGAUUGCCACAAAAGAAAAGUGGCAAGAACUACGGAAGAACUAAUACGAAUUAAGAUAAUAUGCGCAGUUUUGAUCCUGGACUGAAAACAACAUACCAAAGGAUCUCCAAAAUUCCAAAAUCUAAAUAAUAAUCAAAAGUUUUAACAACAGAAUGGGCAGCACCGUUAACCAUUAAUAGUCUUCUCAAAGUUCAUAAUCAGUUCACCCUAAACCAUCUACAAUAUCACCCUACCAUGAGAAUUAGACUUAACUUCCAGUGAAAGCCUUCUUUCCAAAAGCUGACGACGAUCCAGCGGGAAUCACCUUCAGCACAUUGAACCUCUUGGUCUUGGACAAUGGCCUAAACAUAGACAAACAAAUAAAAGAUGAGCAACGCACACAUAUUAGAACACUCCAUCAAGAGUAGUAGUGGCUUAGAAAUUUGACCUGCACUGCCCGAUGAUAACAUGGUCUCCUUCUUUCACACGGAAGCAUGGAGACACGUGUGCAGCAAUGUUCGAGUGCCUCUUCUCAUAUCUGAAGCAUGAUACGAAACAGAAUAUUUCAGUAUUACAUAAAAGAGCAUCCUUUUACUUUACCACAAUGAAAACAUAACUUGUAGAAAUCAAGAGAAAUGAACUCCAAUACCGUACCUUUGAUACUUCUUGAUAUAAUGCAGGUAAUUCCGUCGAACAAUAAUGGUCUUGUUCAUCUUAGCGCUGUGGCAAGUACCAGCUAAGAUACGUCCCCUGAUAGAGACAUUCCCAGUGAAUGGGCAUUUCUUAUCAAUGUAUGUCCCUGUUAGAUCCCCAAAAAUAUCGAAUCCAUAUCAGCAAAAACACUAAAUGCUCAUCAUCCAAUUACUCAACUCCUCCAAGAGAAAUUAUACUCCCACAUUUCCCUAGUUCAGCUAGGAACAUCUUAUAUCAUCAAGGCUAUACUAAACACACUUUUCGCCAUUCUACGAGAAUUCAAACCAUCCAAUAACAAAGAGCAAUGCGAUCACACAUUUUUGUACUGAAACAAAUCGAUCAAAUUGCCACAAACAAAUCAAAAACUCAAGUAAAACACAACAUGUCCAUACACACACUACUCCAUUUCACAACAAAAUCGAGAGUGCAAUACCUUCGAUGGCAUCCCUCGGGGUCUUGAAGCCGAGCCCGACGCUCUUCCAGAACCGGUUGCCACCUUUUCCAGGUCUCUUUCCCUUUCCGGUUUUCUUCGAGCUAAAAAACCAAAUCAAAACCUUAAGAAAACAAAAAUCAUGAUCAAAUUGAAUAAAAACCAAAUCUUGAUUUUGAAGCUGAGAAAUUCACCUCAAGAACACCUUAGGCUGCUUCAGAAAAGCUUUCUCGGUCUGAAACCAAAUCACACUGUUAGUGAGAGCAACUAAACCCUAACCAAAGAGUAGAGAGAGAGAAAGAGAGAGAGCGAACCUGUUCGGCCAUGAUUGAUUGCUCGGAGAGACGAAGGUGAGUUUCGGCGGAGGCUCGGCGGCAGUUAAGCUCUAAACCCUAAGAUGCACCAGCUGUGAGCUUCUCCUACAAAUUAUAAGGGCGGCAAUUCGGGUCGGUUUGGGCCCAGUUUAAGCCGGUUUUUCUCAUGGGCCAGAAUGGAUUGUACCUUUGGGCCUUAUGAACUAUGUUUAAACACGUGUCCUGAAGGAAGCUGUGAUCAAAAGCAUAGAGCUUGUGGCACAGAUUCUCUCAACCUUUUUUUUUUUAGAAGAAAAAGAAAAUUAUAACGAGACGCUUCUAGGGCAGCCAAUAUUAACAGUAUCUAAAUGGAAUGCUUGCGCAGCCUGAGGAGGAAGCGCACCUAGCCAAAUCUUCAGAGAAUGCAAACUGUACCCGAGAUUUACAAGAGCAUCAGCUAAGAAAUUAACUUCUCGGAAGACAUGAUCAAAGCUGAUAUUAUCAAACUCACUAGCAACAUGAAUGACAACAACUUCUCUCAACUUGAAUAAUAAAUGUUAGAUGUUAUUUGAGACUACUACAAGGACUAACCUAAUAAAGGUUUAUAUCCAUCAUCAGCUCACAACCUUUCUUCAUAUCACCGAAUACAUCCAUCAAGGUGGUAGGGAUGCUGGCUGAAAAUUGAAGCAUAACCCUGAAACCUUUGAUCAUGAAGGCGUCAAGCUCUACGGUUACUAAGAGUCGACGGAGAGGUUCGAAUCCAGGGAGUCUCAUGUACGUUUUGCGAUCGAGCGAGGGCAAGGAGGCAGUUAAAAUUCGACUCCAACUCCAUGAAAACAGGUGUUGGAGAAGAAGGAUAUAUCGAGGAAGGAAUUGAGCUGCUACUCGACAUAUCAAAAAGCAAGUGGAUUCUUGGUUGGUUGAAAAAAAAAAUGGCUAUAUACACUGAUAUACAGGCAGGAUGAAGAAGCUGGAGGAAAAUCUAUCCAAACAUUUCAUGUUGUCAUCCAAUCAGCCACCUGCUGAUCUACUAUAAGAGAUAUACAAGAUAAUUCAAAAACCUCACAUGAAUCACCCCCAAAGAUGAAAUUCGGACUCAUAAUUUCAAGUCAAAUAACUCUCUCAUAUUUAUAUAUCUUCAAAAUCACGUCCCCAGAGCAAAUCAUAACUCAAAAGUUCUACAAUCUUGCUUGAGAUGUAAAAAAAGAAAGCCGAUAUUGACACAAUGAGUAACGCCAUGCACCAUUUGCCGGCAGCAGAAGUACAUGAUUUUGUAACUGAAGAUAACUGAUCACUUUUCACCAUGGAUAGCUGCUUAGACAAGAUAACCUACUCGUUCUGCAUUUUAAGAAGCCAAUACUGUCAGUUCACAAAACCCAGGAGAAACUCUUAAACUUCAGUAUAUAUUUCCUAAUGCUGCGGUGUAAGAUUAUUGUUCCCACAAAGGAUGAUCUCUCUUGAAUUGUAAUUCUUGAACUAAGUUCACUAUGUGACAUCUUUAAGUUAUGCUAUGUAGGACAUUCACUACGAAUUAUAAGAAGCCAUGACUUGGUAGUAAUCGUUAAUUGUAUGCUGUAUGCUUCCACUACUGACUUUAAAAUGUGGGGAAUUUAUUUUAGAGAGACAAUAUGACUAUAACGUAUGGCAACCUUAGAAGCAUCAGUUAAAACAGAAAGAGAGAAUCAAAACAAAAAAUGGAUAAGAUUUUCAACAACAGCACCUUUUGACGUUUUGAACUAGGAGGCUCGUCACAAUCACUCUGACUAUGCCGACGCGAUGUCCCAACAUUGGAAUUUUCCGUCUGCAAAACAUAUACAUGAUGACUUCAAGUUCUCUAUUAUUUAAAUUUUGUUUACUUCAGCCUAAAAUCAAGAUUUACAAAAUGUAAAUUUUCUUUGGCCAUGAUGGGGAAAAAUGCUAACUGAAAUAGAAACCCAAAGCCUGUUGAAACAUGAAGCAUAGAAGGCCAGUAAAUGAUAGAUGGUGUAACAUGCAUACCACGGUGGAAGAGUCUUGGGCCAUUGUGUGCUCAGAAGAAUUUUCCGCUUCUGCAGGUACAUGACCUGGCUCUCUAGUUGCUGCUUGAGAUAUCAAUGGCAUUACUUGAUGAAGCAAAUUAGACAAAAAUAAUCCUUCUUCAGUAACCCUCAGUUCAGCUUCUGGAGCAACAGCAACACCACUAGGUGUCCUUGCCUGAUCUGAUACAGAACUAGAAUUCAUUCCUUGUACACUGCCAUCUUCUACGCGAAUUUCAUCACCAGGAAAGAGAGCCCUUAGUAUAUUUAAAAUACCGCUUGGGACCUGUCUCUCAGAUUCUUGAUCGUUUUGGGUUCCACCAGAUGAAAAAAGGUUGAUACUAACACUUCGUCCAAUGGGGGGAUCUGGUUGCCUUAUAUAGGGAGUUGAUCCUGCAAGACACAGCCAGUAUAAGUAUUUCAACUAGUAUAGCUACUUCAGAGUCUUGGUUAACUAAUGUAGAAGAGACAAACUCAAUCCGGUUGGCGUACUUGGUUUAUAAUUUUGUAAUACUCAACAGAAAGAAAAAAUGGAAAUAUUACCCUCUCUUGCAGGAUCUGUAAUGUUUUCUGAAGAUUGCCGAUCAGUAUGAAGGCCGGCAGGAUGACGAUCACCAGAUGCUUGAGAUACUUGCUCAGCAUUCACAUUUCCAGAAGCUACAUUUUGAGACCUUCCAAGAAAUGGAUAGUAUAACCCAAAUGAACUACCAGCAGACUCCGAUGGUAUGCGACUGCCAAGUACGGUCCUGAUUGGCACUACCCUUGGCCUUACACCCAAAUCUCCAGCAGAAGCUGAACCAUCUGAGAUACUUGGCGCUGUUUGAUUGGCAGGAUUUUCACCACCUGAACUUGGUGCUGCGUUUCUUUGUAAAGGUUGCUGAAGAUCGAGAUGCUCCUCUCGAUUGACAUUGGCAGUGGUCGUUGGUGAACCUUAUGGUGAAAGUAAAUAAUACUUAUACACGGGCAUAUAUUUUACAUCAAACAAGAAGUAGACAGAACAUGGAAUAUAUAACAGGUACCUCUUCGUAUUUGUAUAUCAAUACGCCUUGGAUGAAAACCAGAACCAAAUCCAUUCAGUAGACCAGAACCAGGCUGCAGAGCUCCCAUGGGCAUGGCACCUACACUCAUUCCUGAUUGAAAUGGAAGAGGCUGGCCGAGUAUCAUUCAGUCUCAAUCAGCACAGAUAAACAAACUUCAGAAGAGAGAUUUCAAUCUCUGAUUUAGGUGUAGAAAAAUACCUGAACCAUUAUAGGGUUAGGACCCGUCGGGGAUAUGAAAACUGCAGGUCCAGCAUUAACCACUGCAUCAGACUGUGAGAGAUGAGCCAAAAAAAAAAA
rnacentral:lncRNA from 1 species